AGUGCCAGCAGCCGCGGUAAUACGAAGGUCCCAAGCGUUGUUCGGAAUUACUGGGCGUAAAGCGUGCGUAGGUGGCAUGGUAAGUCAGAUGUGAAAUCCCGGGGCUCAACCCCGGAACUGCAUCCGAUACUGCCAAGCUAGAGUAGUGGAGGGGAGUCUGGAAUUCACGGUGUAGCAGUGAAAUGCGUAGAUAUCGUGAGGAACACUAGUGGCGAAGGCGAGACUCUGGACAUUAACUGACACUGAGGCACGAAGGCUAGGGUAGCGAAAGGGAUUAGAUACCCCUGUAGUCCUAGCAGUAAACGGUGCGCGUUUGGUGUGGGCGGGUUCGACCCCGUCCGUGCCGAAGCUAACGCGUUAAACGCGCCGCCUGGGGAGUACGGCCGCAAGGCUAAAACUCAAAGAAAUUGACGGGGACCCGCACAAGCGGUGGAGUAUGUGGCUUAAUUCGAUGCAACGCGAAGAACCUUACCUAGGCUUGACAUGCUUGUCGUAGUUCUGUGAAAGCAGAUCGUCAGUUCGGCUGGACUUGCACAGGUGCUGCAUGGCUGUCGUCAGCUCGUGUCGUGAGAUGUUGGGUUAAGUCCCGCAACGAGCGCAACCCCUAUGAUUAGUUGCCAGCGAGUAAUGUCGGGGACUCUAGUCAGACUGCCUGUAUUAAACAGGAGGAAGGUGGGGACGACGUCAAGUCAGUAUGGCCCUUACGCCUAGGGCUGCACACGUACUACAUGCCCAGUACAUGUGAACCGAUACCGUAGGUGAGGAAUCUUAAACCUGGGCUUCAGUUCGGAUGUGGGCUGCACUCGCCACAUGAGCUGAUCGCUAGUAUGCACAUCAGCUACGGUGCGUGAUACGUUCCGGGUCUGUACCCCGCCGUCUACAUGAUGGAUGCACAAAGUAAUAGUCUACUUCGGGAGGCGUUACCGGGUGUUCUGACUGGUAGUGUAAAGAUACGGGCGCGCUCGACUAGGCAUCGGAUACAUAAUGGGGCCCCGGCAUCACUAAAGCCAUGUCUAUAGGGGUAUAUAUCUGGCGCGUUAAGCCUCAUGACUGUUCCAAUUAUCCUGGAGCUCUUCAUUGGGAAAAGAGACCGCCCUCAAGU
rnacentral:rRNA from 1 species